rnacentral:rRNA from 1 species
UACGAAGGGGGCUAGCGUUGCUCGGAAUCACUGGGCGUAAAGGGCGCGUAGGCGGCCAUUCAAGUCAGAGGUGAAAGCCCAAGGCUCAACCUUGGAACUGCCUUUGAUACUGUUUGGCUUGAGACCGGUAGAGGUAAGUGGAACUGCGAGUGUAGAGGUGAAAUUCGUAGAUAUUCGCAAGAACACCAGUGGCGAAGGCGGCUUACUGGACCGGUUCUGGACGCUGAGGCGCGAAAGCGUGGGGAGCAAACAGGG